AUUUAAGGUCUGAUCUGCCCAAUGAUUAUUUAGGUUUAAUGGCCGCGAUAUUUUGAUCGUGCGAAGGUAGCAUAAUCAUUAGCUUUUUAAUUGUAAGCUGGUAUGAAUGAUUGGACAAGAGACUUACUGUCUCAAUUUAAAAUUUUGAAGUUUAUUUUUUAGUUAGAAAGCUGAAAUUUUAUUGUAAGACGAGAAGACCCUAUAGAGUUUUAUAUUUAUUUAUUUAUAAUAAUUUUAGUAAUUUAAUUUUAUAAAUAAUUUAAUAUUUGGUUGGGGUGACAGAAAAAUGUAUUUCACUUUUUCUAUUUAAAAUAUAAAUUUAUAGAUUUUUGACUUUCAAUUUAGUUAUAAGAUUAAAUUACCUUAGGGAUAACAGCGUUAUUUUCUUAAAGAGUUCAAAUCGAAAAGAAAGAUUGCGACCUCGAUGUUGGAUUAAAGUUAAAAUUUGGUGUAGAAGCUAAAUUAUUUAGUCUGUUCGACUAUUUAAACUUUACAUGAUCUGAGUUUAAACCGGCGUGAGCCAGGUUGGUUUCUAUCUUCAAUUAUGUAAAAUAUUUUAGUACGAAAGGACCAAAUAUUUUUUAAAUUAAAAAUUGUUUGAUUUAUAUUAAAAACUUUUAAUA
rnacentral:rRNA from 1 species